rnacentral:misc_RNA from 1 species
UCGAACGGCGCCAAGCGCCCUCGACGCUCAAACCAGUGGAAGCGACCCGUGCUUCGGCGCUCCGGCGCCGCAUCCACGCCUGAAUCCGUCCGACGUCUGAAUCAGAAAAUUGAAUCA